rfam:Rattus norvegicus chromosome 17, whole genome shotgun sequence.
CCAAAGGCUCUUUUCAGAGCCACCCAGAGAACUCUGUGAAUGUAG